AUAUCAAUAACGCGCAGCCCAAACAAAAUAACUUAACAUUAAUCUUAACUUAAAACCCAACAAUAAAUAUACUUUAAAUCAAUCCAAAUGAAAUACUAAUAAAUACCACAUUCAAAUAAUGGAGACGCAGCUCCUCGAAACUAAGAGUUUUAUCAAAAUUCAUCAACAAAAGAAUAACAUCUAAAACUAAACUCCAGCUAUUCCAAGCGUAUCAAAUAAGUGCUCAGCUUUCAACGAUGGGACCUGUAAAAAUCUGUAAGGGGGUGAGCGAUGAAGCCCAGCAAGUAGCAAUCCUCUCUAUCUAGCCGAAUCAAGUACAAUUUGCAAAAUACUUUUUCGAAAUAACUUUUUGUUCAAUAACAAUAGUACAAAAGCUUUCAAAACUAAAACAAUUCAAAAAUGAUUUCAAUGUAUAUCAUAAAUCUUUUAAUCCACAGCCUUAGCG
rnacentral:lncRNA from 1 species